GCUCCGCUGGCCUAGUGGUUAGAGAGUCCGCCUCGGAUGCGGAAGGUCAUGGGUUCGAAUCCCGGCCGAGUCA